CUAGGCUCUCUGCAUUCUCUAUUACCCAGUUUAUCUUUUGUUCAUUUAAUGCAUCGCAAACAACAUUGAAUUAGUUUGUUGGACAAUUAGGUAAGAUAUUAAACUAAAGAUGUACAUAUAAAUAUGUCAAGUGAUUAUUUUAAGAAUACAUCUGUAAGGAGUAACUGGAGAAGGCACUUUGUGAAGGUUUUUUUCCCUCCCUGCUUUCUCUAACAGUUCAACAACUCCCAACUUUUAUAAAUAGUACACCUUUUUCUAAAGUGUAGACAGCAAAAAAAUUUUUCUAUAAUGAAUGCUUAAAAAAUCAUUUCCGAGGAAAUUAGGUCUUAAAAACAUCCUGGAAUAUGUCAGUUAAUUAAAUUGUUGUUUGUUAGAAUGAACAUCCCAAAUCAAACCCACUCUUGCAAAUGCUAGCCCAAGAGUGGUUUCUAGUCUCUGCAAGUCUCUUCCUUCCUCUGCUGUGGCCGCCUAAAGCCCUCCUGCAAUUUCACCACCUCCUUGACUCUCAGCACUAAUCCUGAAUAUUGCUGGGGAGGUUUGCAUGGCUGCAUCUAGAAACUGUGUUUGAUCCUGUUUACUUUGCCUCUCUCUGCUCUAAUGUCACACCUCAGUUCUGGGAAAUGUAUCUCAGUCUGUUCUGAAGUCUUAUUUGCCUGCUCCCGGGCACCCACGUUUGAUGACCAAGCUUCAGUGUGAGCCCUGUUUCUGAGGUCCUCUUUUGUUAUCUGUCAUCGCCCUUCUCAUAAAGGGAUACCCUAGUCCUAGAUCCUGGCCCAUUAGUGUGGACCCUCCUCUGUAAUAACAGACACCUCUUAUUCUAAUUUGCUGUCCUUCCUAUAAGAAUGAAUUGUCUCAUAUUCCAUCCAACUGUUUGGAAAGGCCAACAUUUCAUUUUAACGCUUUGCUGAUUUCUACUUACCUGGAGUAUAACCUAUCACUCUGUUGUCCUGGACAUGUUGCUUUGGUCUCUAUUCAUAUCUGUGAUGGGAUCCACUCACCCACAUCCUAUUCAGUGAUUGAGUCCUUUUCCAAAGUCCAGCCCUUUCUCACCUAAGCCGUAUGGCAAUAAGUAACUGGGCUUACCUGGUUUGUUAAUUCUGGAAACACUGAAUGCUUAUUGGAUAUCUGAAACUAUACUGGCUGCUGGGGAGAGGAAUAAGACGCAGUUUCGCUCUUGAAUCUCAUCCUGAAUGACAGAGAAAACAAAAAAUUGAAAUACAAUUCUUUAACUGCAGGUUCUAAGAACAUUUUUCACUGAGACAUAGUACCUUAGGUCAGACAAUUGCCCUUCCAUAAACAUUCAUUCUACUAAUGCUUGCUCAAAACCUACUGUGUGCCACCCAGAGGUCUCUUAAUGAGAACUGUGAAUCAGACCCAGACAUUCACUUUGGCCCCGAGUGCCUAGAACUGUUACCUCCCAGAUAUUAAUGAUGUGUGUCUUCUGCUCCUGAGAAGUCAAUAGGAGACUUUAUAAUAGAUAGCCUCUGAACCUAGUUCCUGCUGCUCCAAUCCCCAGGUGAUCUACCUUGAUUGAACCCUGAUGACCAUAGGGGGGUUGUAAAUUCAGUCACUCAUUGUCCAGAACCUCUGAAUCAAGUAUCAACCUGUUGCAUUCCAUCCUUCUAGAUUACCUAGAGCUGGAUAUCCUGAAAGGAUGAAAGUUUUAUGAGUUGAUUGCAGUGCUUGUUGGAAAGGUAGGAGACCCUGGUGAUAAACCUACCAUAACUUUCAAAAGUCAGCAUUAUCCCCUGAGUGGCAGAGUUGCCUUGACUUUGUGUUUCUGGUGGAAAUGACAACCAAGGUGCCCCUACUGCCUUCUAAACCAUUGAAGAGAAACUAAGUGGCCCCUGAAACAGCCUGAGUGACUAGUGACUGCCCAAGGACUACUAAAACUUUCUUUACUCUGAGUUGUGAAGGCUUCCUGUGGUCUUUGGCUGGUGGAAUGAUAUCCGGACCUGAUAUGGACAGGGAUUCCUUGGGACAUCCUAGGGAAAUUGAGAUUGCCCUGGUGCCUCUAGCCUUAACUUUAGAACUAAUAGUCAUUUUUGCCAAGCUCUUUUGCUUCUCUCCCCAAAUUCUAAACCAGCCCUAGCCUAUUGGAGGAUAAUUCUGAAAUAAACCUGAAAAUAACUUCCCUAUCCAUCAAUGUUCCUGAAAUUUCAUGAGGAUUCUGAAGAGAAGAGGCAGGGGUUUGCCUAGGGGAAGGUAGAGAAACCAAGGUGAGGAGAAGGCUCAGAGGCAGUGUUGUCAGCAUGGGCACUCCAGAGACCUGCAGCAAAUAGGACUAAAGCACGGGCUCCAGGCACAAGCAGUGAUCUUAAGUGUUAAUUUGAGUCGUGCUUUUGAGAGGGAGAGACAGAAUCCAUCUCUUUCCCUCUUUUAACAUCAGUGCACUCAUUCAUAAACAUAUACAUUCUAUCUCACAACAUUCUUCACAUACUCCAAUAAGAAAAAGCAUGUUAAAGUGACAAAAAUAUUUUAAGAAGUUAUGUAAAUAUACUACUAAGGUAGAUUAUAGAUUAUAGUUCUAUCAUUUAUCAUGUUCUCAUGUGUUUAUUUGCUGAGAAGCUUUUAUAAACUUUCAGUUGUUUUUCCUCCCCCACCCCAUAUUUAUCAGCAUGCAUGUCUUACUGUCUUAUUUAAGUUUCAAAAUAUUAUUUCAAAGUUAAUAAGAUGUUUCGAAAAUCUAGCCACGUCCUUUAUUUGCUCAUAAUAUUUUGUCUGGAAAAGUUGUUCUUAAAAAACCUAAAGGUCCUAUUUAUAAAACUGUGAUAUGAUUAAGGCCAAUUGUAAACAAAUGUUUGCAGGCCAACAGAACAAUUAUGUCUUUCAAUACAGAUGACUUUCCCAGUGUGCCAUAAUAGUUUCUUAAAGCUGUUAUGAAUUAUUCCAUAAACCCAUAUUUAGAGACUUUUAAAAAUGCAGAUUAUUGGCCUGAGCAACCAUUUUGUCUCCAAAGGAACAUUUGCAGGCUGUCGUGCAAAUCUGCAUUUGAGCUACUUUCACAUUAUGAUCUUAGUGAAUUCUUGACCAGAUGGACUUGAACAGCUGCCACCCAUGCCUGGACCACACAAUAUUUAUACGGUUUAAAUUCUGGCCCAUCUACUGGCACAGACUGUUCACUUCUGUUACUGUCAUGGCAAGUGAUGCAGGAAGAGAAACAUUGCUGAUCUGUGAAAUUGGACAAUACAUUAAAUCUGUCUUGGUAUUUAAGCCACAUCCACAGCAUGGGCCCUCUUCCGAAAGUGCGUACAGAAAAGUGAUGGUGUCCACUGUGGCCUACAGCAUUAUCUUCCUUUCUCCUCCUUCCUGGAAAGUAUUAUAUUUUUUCCUCCCUCCAGGAUUUUAUAAUUACCAUGGGGGAAAGAAAAAAAAAAUGAUGCUAAGUUUGCUGAAUGCAAAUUUUUCAAAACUUCACAGGUAAACGUUGCCAGAAAAACAUUUUUUUUCCCAAAAUGGCUCUUACCACUGCUCCAAUGAACGAAUUAGCUAAAGACUUGCUGUCAGAUAUGAAAUUAUGCUCUUCUCACACCACCUUUCUCUCUGUGAUUAAAAUUUAUAAUCAUUGUAUCUUAAUUUAGUUUUUAUUACCUACUCUCUAGAAGGUAUAUUUAAGCUGAUGUGAAUUUUCUUUCCCUACCCCAUUUCCCUCUUUAGAUCUUUAAACUGUUUUCAUUUACUGAAACAAGUUUAAAAGUCUAACACAUGAGGGAAGAUUAAGGGAAUGUAAUAGAGUCAUCAUCCGAUCACAGCCCAACACUCAUUUAUUGAGUGCUUACUAAGUACCAAGCAUGGUUUUAAGUGCUUGGCAUCCUUUCCUUCAUUUCUCAUAUCUGUCUCUGAGCUAGGGAUGAUGAGAUGCCCAUUUUGCUG